AGACACGGCCUGUGGCCUUGAAGCUGAGCGGAGGGGAGCCCUCCGGGGCCCGCAGCCUCGCGCUCGGCUCUGGGCUGGCUGGGCCGGCUUUGC